rnacentral:rRNA from 1 species
AUGAACGCUGGCGGCGUGCCUAAUACAUGCAAGUCGAGCGAACAGAUCAGGAGCUUGCUCCUUUGACGUUAGCGGCGGACGGGUGAGUAACACGUGGGUAACCUACCUAUAAGACUGGGAUAACUUCGGGAAACCGGAGCUAAUACCGGAUAACAUUUGGAACCGCAUGGUUCUAAAGUGAAAGAUGGUUUUGCUAUCACUUAUAGAUGGACCCGCGCCGUAUUAGCUAGUUGGUAAGGUAACGGCUUACCAAGGCAACGAUACGUAGCCGACCUGAGAGGGUGAUCGGCCACACUGGAAGUGAGACACGGUCCAGACUCCUACGGGAGGCAGCAGUAGGGAAUCUUCCGCAAUGGGCGAAAGCCUGACGGAACAACGCCGCGUGAGUGAUGAAGGGUUUCGGCUCGUAAAACUCUGUUAUUAGGGAAGAACAAACGUGUAAGUAACUGUGCACGUCUUGACGGUACCUAAUCAGAAAGCCACGGCUAACUACGUG